UACGUAGGGUGCAAGCGUUAAAUCGGAAUUACUGGGCGUAAAGCGUGCGCAGGCGGUAAUGUAAGACAGAUGUGAAAUCCCCGGGCUCAACCUGGGACCUGCAUUUGUGACUGCAUUGCUGGAGUGCGGCAGAGGGGGAUGGAAUUCCGCGUGUAGCAGUGAAAUGCGUAGAUAUGCGGAGGAACACCGAUGGCGAAGGCAAUCCCCUGGGCCUGCACUGACGCUCAUGCACGAAAAGCUGGGGAGCAACAGG
rnacentral:rRNA from 1 species